GCUCAGGACGAACGCUGGCGCGUGCCUAAUACAUGCAAGUCGAGCGGACAGAAGCGGAGCUGCUCCCGGAUGUUAGCGGCGGACGGGUGAGUAACACGGGGUAACCUGCCUGUAAGACUGGGAUAACUCCGGGAAACCGGAGCUAAUACCGGAUAGUUCCUUGAACCGCAUGGUAAUCAAGGAUGAAAGACGGUUUCGGCUGUCACUUACAGAUGGACCCGCGGCGCAUUAGCUAGUUGGUGAGGUAACGGCUCACCAAGGCGACGAUGCGUAGCCGACCUGAGAGGGUGAUGGCCACACUGGGACUGAGACACGGCCCAGACUCCUACGGGAGGCAGCAGUAGGGAAUCUUCCGCAAUGGACGAAAGUCUGACGG
rnacentral:rRNA from 1 species